rnacentral:rRNA from 1 species
UAGGGAAUCUUCGGCAAUGGACGAAAGUCUGACCGAGCAACGCCGCGUGAGUGAAGAAGGUUUUCGGAUCGUAAAACUCUGUUGUUAGAGAAGAACAAGGACGUUAGUAACUGAACGUCCCCUGACGGUAUCUAACCAGAAAGCCACGGCUAACUACGUGCCAGCAGCCGCGGUAAUACGUAGGUGGCAAGCGUUGUCCGGAUUUAUUGGGCGUAAAGCGAGCGCAGGCGGUUUCUUAAGUCUGAUGUGAAAGCCCCCGGCUCAACCGGGGAGGGUGAUUGGAAACUGGGAGACUUGAGUGCAGAAGAGGAGAGUGGAAUUCCAUGUGUAGCGGUGAAAUGCGUAGAUAUAGGGAGGAACACCAGUGGCGGAGGCGGCUCUCUGGUCUGUAACAGACGCUGAGGCUCGAAAGCGUGGGGAGCAAACAGG